rnacentral:lncRNA from 1 species
UGGUUGCAUGUUACCCUGUCUGUCUGUCUGCAACAGUUUCUCCUUGUUCUUUUUGAAUAAUGCAGUCACACUCGGCAACAGCUUCCACACGCAUGCAGCAGGAGUCCUCUUCGCUUUUUACUAAAGAGGAAUCGAUUGACUGUGAGAACGGAGGAAAGGCGAGUGCUCUUUGGCAUUCUCCGAAGGACACGGUGCAAAGUGCUGCCCUUAAAGCUCAGUGUGGGGUCUGACUCUUUGGAUGUGGGGCUGGACUUCUUUGAGCUUGCAGGUGUUUUGUCGAAUCGUUCUGUCUCUGGUGCUCAACGGGCAUGUAGUCAGGGAGACAGCUGUAUUAGGCAGAACAUCAAGAUUUCUCAUUCACUUUGUCAUCUGUUGAAGAGUUUCCCCCCCUGCCGUGAUGUUGUUCAUCUUAAGAUUGUGUGUGAAUGAGAAUAUUGCUUUUACUGUUUUAGACAAAACCAUCAUUUAGACUUAGUUUAUUCCCAUCGUAAAUAAAGAUGAUUGUGUGAAGUAAAUUGGGGCUGUCGCUAACUUAUUAGCCUGCUUGUUAGCGAUUGAUCUCAUGAGACUGGACAUUAUAUGGAGGGUAACUUUGGACCAGGUAAAUCGGACCUCUGCAGGAGUAGUUAUAUUGACAUUUCUGUCCUUAAUUAGCUCUUCUGUUUACCAGGGCUCUGCAGUCAGAGAUCAGCAACCUAUAGAUACACUGACCACUGCUACUGUUGCCUGGAUUGCUUGACAGACUCGUGCAUCACUUCUCCCUGUCAGAGAUGGUAGAGGCCCAGUAGGCUCUCAGGCUGCUUUUGCAUCUAUAGAUGAGAGCAAUUCAUCAGGUACUUCGCCCUGAGGCUGUGGCCCCGCCCCCUUUUGGAUGGACACAGUCAGUCUGAAUUGACUGGUGGUAAAUGUUAAUGGAAAUAAUAGCUUGAAGUAAGAAAAUAGUAUUAUUUAAUGGCUUUUAGAAUGGCAAACUUAUAAAUCAUGACUUUACUGAUCAGGGGUUUGAUUAAAAAAGUCAAAGUUAAAAUGAGAAGUAAGAGCUUUGAGACGAGGAUGCCAGGUUAUGUGCCUGCCGUUAAACUUUUAAAGAAAGUGUAGCAAAAAUCUCAGGUUUUAAAUAGACAGUUAUUUUCACUCUUUAAAACCAGAUGGCUCCUUUGUUUAAUGAGUCUUAGUUUACUGUACUUAAUGCCAAUUCCCAAUUAAUGUUUCUAAAAAGUUUAAGUUAUGUUUUGUUGUGUUAAAAGAUACUCAGGAUGGAAGUAUCAUAAAUUGGUUUUGCAAAUAAAUCCUAACAUAUGGACAAAUUAACUUCUAAAGUUUGUAAUUUUUUGGUUUGUCCAAACCAAAGGUGUGAAGCAGUGGAGGUAUUUAUAUUUAUCCUCAGCCUCCUCCCGUCAUCUCUCUUUUAGUCUUCCAGAUUGCUGAAAUGUCAUCGAGCUAUCACACUUGCGCCUGUCCCCCAUGUACGCAUACAUGCACACAGAGAUAAACAUACAAACUCAGCAGGCUACUUUCAUCCCUCAGACCGAGGAGGGGAGCAGAGGAAAGAGGAACAGAGGACAAGGGCAGAGGAAGUGUUGUGUUUAGUCAGCAGAGUGUGUCAGCCAGCUAAUGGACAGACUCUCCCUGAAUGGGAUCCAAAACCAUUAGCAACUUGCACACUUCAAAGGGUGGUAAUGGGCGAUUCUGUGAAACCAUCCUAAUGUAGGGUGUGUGUGUAAGAGUGAGAAAAAGAGAGAGAGAGUGUGUGAGGUAUGUGUAUUUCUGUCCAUGACUUUGUAUAUCUUAUUUACCUUUGUGCAUGCUGUAUUUUGCACCUGGACUUGUUUGUGCCUUCGCGUCUACAUUAUACAUCUCCACGAGUCAGAGUUGUGUUCAAAAGUUUAUAUUUCUCUGUGUGGUCUGCAGCUUCUGAUACAUGAAUAAGUGAGUUUAAUGCUUGCAUUUGUUGGAAGUAGUUGUUUAUUUAUUGAGAAUAGUAUCAGGCUGUGUCGGACUAAACCUAAUAUGUCUAACAUUGUCAGGUAAAUUAGAGAGAAAGCAGGGUAAUAAACUGUUGGAAUGCAUCAUGUCUUCAGAUAGAUUAACGGCAAAUUCCAAGAACUGGAUGAAGGCUGUGCUGAAGCCCAGUACUGGCACUGCAUCAAGGACAUAACAUAUGAUAACAUAUAAUACUAAAUGAUACGAUAUGAUAUGAUACAAUAGGAUACAGUAUGAUAAAAUACAAUAUGAUAUGAUAUGAAACAGUACUAAAACAACAUGAUACGAUAUAUAAUACAAUAUGAUAUGCUAUGAUACAAUUUGAUAUAUGAUAGAUGAUACAAUAUGAUAUGAUACGAUACAGUAUGAUAUGAUAGGAUACAAUACAAUACAAUAUGAUAUGAUUUGAAACAAUACAAUACAAUAUGAUAUGAUAUGAUACAAUAUGAUACAACAUGAUAUGCUACGAUAUGAUAUGCUAUGAUACAAUAUGAUAUAUUAUAUGAUAUGUUAUGAUAUGAUAUUAUACAAUACAGUUUGAUAUGAUACAAUACAAUAGGAUAUGAUAUGAUAUGACAUAAUAUGAUGCAAUACAAUAUGAAAUGAUACGAUAUGACACAAUAUCAUAUGCUAUGAAAUGAUAUAUGAUAUGAUACAAUAUGAUACGAUAUAGUAUGAUAAGAUAUGAUAUGAUAUGUGAUAUAAUUUGAUAUGAUACCAAAGAUAUGACAUGAUACGAUUUAUGAUUUAUGAUAUGAUUUGAUAUGAUAUAUGAAAUAAUUUGAUAUGAUAUGAUGUGAUACAGGAAACAAUAAUACACAAUCAUCAACAUGAUGUAUCACAGCUAUUUUGAUAUCAGGGCAACAAAAAUAUGAGUCCAGGGCACGACAUAUCACAAAACUUUCAUACAACAUUUGAAAUACUGUACUUCAUUUUAAUAAAAGUGGUGUUAGCAGGAGACAUUCCUGUCUCCCUUGUGCUCUCUUUCGCUCAACAGUAGACACAAAUGUAAUUACUGAAUUUUAAUAAGAUGCCAAAUGGACUCGAGGGAAUUUCAACAUUUGCUGACCUGUGAAUCUCUGCAGUUUUUGUCUUUGUUGUGUGAAAGCUGCAGGUCUGACAAAGAGCUGAAUAGUCGCACACAGUGGGAAAUAAAGUGCAGCCGCACACGUACAAAAUGUAGCCCCUUCUUUCACAUCUGUGUUGAACCGUGGACAUGUUUAUUAGCUCUUUAGAACUUAACCAUUAUGAGAAAUGCAUAAAUAUCAUUGUUUUCAUUGGCAGCACCAGCUCUAUCAUCUUCCCCUUUAUGAAGCCACUAAACCACCACUACUCCACAGAACAAGAGUUAGAAUAACACCUGUAAGCAAAGUGUUCAUCUUGUUUCAGGAAAUUGAAGGUGGAGAAAAUAACUUCCAGUUGUAAAAACAAUUGAUACUUUGGGGCAGCGCUUGUCAAGACAGUUAUCAUACUGGAGAUCUCCUAUCUCAAGGACCCCAGCUAUUGUUAAUUACAUUUGGAGGUAAUUAAUUGUUUGGAGUAUAGCUGAGUGGGACAUACAUCACUGAUUAUCUCUGCAUGUCCGGAUGCUUGUGUGGUGGUUAGAGAUAUUCAUUUGUGUUUUCUAUAGUGACAACUUUGUGGGAAGAGAACAGACAUUGCAUGUGUGCAUGCAUGUAUGAAAAUACAAUCUUAUGGCCAUACACUUAGAGAAGCACAAUAAGGCGAUGUACUAUAUGCAUUCUGUAUCCAGGUCCAUAUACUUUCAAUCAAAUGAUGCAUUCAUUCAAAAAGACUUAAAAGUAAAAACCUGUCAUCUCAGUGAAGAGGAUUGGAUAGCCUGACGUGAAAAUACUUGAGUGGGCUGGAGAAUAGUUUUGAAGUGCACUUGACUUUUUCCAGAGACAACUCUCAAACAGCUCUAACACAAAACCACUUGACCUCCAAAUCUUGCAGUGUAUCCAUUCACUGGCCACCAGCCUGAAAUUACUGAGCAGCUGUCAAAUGCGUGUUUGUUUCACUUCGUACAUCUUCAACUCCUUCUCCAGAUUUUUCCUGCAAAUGUAUCCAGCCACCAUGAAGCAUUACAGCAAAAUACAGCAUCUGUUUAAGACCAUUUCUCCCAGACGUCUAAGACAACCAUUGCAUUUACACAACAGAAGCCUUUUACAGUUAUACAUUCAUGAUUCAGUAAAAAUAUAAACAAACCAUUAUUUCUCAACCUUUAUGCAUUGGCACAAAUCACAAAAAGCAAUUGAGCCACAUUAAUGCAUGACUGUCCAAAUGGCUUACUGGUAAUAAAUGUCACAUAAAGACUUGUGUGAUAAUCCAACUGUGUAACAAAUCACAUUACCUUCAGAGAAAUAAUGGGAUUUAAUUACAUGUUGAGAAGGUUGACUGUUACUGUUGAAUAAAAAUGCCAACUCACUCUAUCAUUCAGCACUUGUUCAUUGUACUGGGCUGUUUAUGGGCUGACUUUAAAUCUGCACAUUUGCUCAAUCCAAUUUUUGAGGAACUUAUUUCCUUUAUAUAUACAAGUUUGUGUGAGUAAGUAUAAAGUCAUUUCUAGCCAAAUGGCCAGUUUAUUACAGAAAGAAAAGAAUGAACCUAAAAUGUACUUUAUCUUCCAGCAAAAUGAAAACCCUGAAGGAACUGUAAAACUUUAAUUGACUAACUUGUUUUAGAGAUUUGCAUUUCUAAAAUCUUGGUGAUAGUAUUUCUACCAGUCCUUGUGAAUGGAUCUCCAAUUUGGUAGAACUUCCUUUUCUGCUACCAACAAUAAUUCAAACCGUAUCUCUUUUGUAGUUUAAGAAACAGCCUGUGUUCAUGUAUGUUUUGCCUUGACACAACCAAAGAACAGAUUUUAGGAGGCUAUAGAAAUGCUUGUUCUUGACAAAGACUAACAAGCCCAAGAGGGUAAAGCCUUAAGAUAACAUGAUCCUAGGUUUUCUUAAAAUGGCAUAUGUGAAUUAUUUUACACCAGAUAAACAAGAAAAGCCAAGAUAGAACAAUACAGCAAUACAUACAACCAGUCUAUCCAGUUGAAUAUGACAUGAGUCAAGAUAUGAAACAUAAGCAUAAGACAGAUUGACUUUUUGCUGUAUCUGAGUUGAUAGGAGUUUAUAUGUGUUUUCUGGCCUUAAUUUAUAGAGCUCAGUACAGAGUUGUACUUAUUUCAAUGCUGUUGUCUUUUUAAUGAUUACACUGAGUACACUGUGUUAUAUGUUUAAUAGUAAAAAAAAAUGUACUUGAGGAAAAAUAAUGCUGAGUCAUGUUUUGAGAAUGCAUUUGUACUCAGCAGAUAUGGCAUUUAUUCAAAGAUAUGCAAAGACGUUCAAGCCUCAACAGCAAUGGUUGAUGAGAGAGGCAGGUUUCCGUUUUGCUUCCACUGUACUGUCCUUUCUGCCCUCACUGCAUUUUCCCUAACAGUCGCUGUAAGUUAUUUUUUACUCUCUAUGGGUCUAAAGGUUUUUUGCUGGCUCCAUAUAGUAGCCAUUAGAGGCGUUUAUUUGGCUCGGUUCAAUUCAAAUAAGACUUUUAAAGCUUGAAAAUGUUUGAUUUUCAAUCUUGAGCUAUAUAGAUAAUUAGAUUUGAAACAAUUGUAAAAAUCAUGGCUUGACUGCAGUGCACCAGACUGAUGAGAUUAAGGAAUCUUUGGAGACAACAAUCACAGUCAAAUCUUCCUCUGUCACAAUAUGGAUGUGCGGUACAUAGCAUCCAACUCUGAUCGAUAGUUAUUAGAUAAAGACUUCCAUUUGUGUUUCCAGGAAAUCAUUGGCCUUUGGUAUUUACAGGUGCUUUUACUAUCCCAAAGCUCAUCCCUCUUAAGUUACAACUAUCCCCCUUUAGUUUCUUGUUAUCACAACAGCUGUAAUAUAAAGUGCUACCAAACAACAUACUGAGAUGCAACUACAAGGUGAAAAGUGACUCAUGAAAACUUGUUUGUUAACAGAAACACACACAUUCAUUGUCUGUUCAAGUUGUUUCAAGAAGUACCCACCAUUUCAAGUGCAGAAUAACAGCAGUAGGUCUCCCUCUCUACCGAAGAGUGCCUCUCUUGACAACGCUGAAAGAAUGGCCUCCUAGACAAAUCCACUAAAAAUCCAAGUGCCUCCACAGCGUGGAAAGUGAAAUCUUUUCGCCUCUUUUUUUUAUAUAUCAAAGUAAAAAUAAAACUUCUCAAAAGAAGACACCCUCAGGAUUCCACUCUGUAGUUUACCUUUAAAGAAACACUGGCAGUCUGUGCUCUUUGGUAUUAUUUUCUUUAUUGAGAAAGUGGUGCCAAUGAGCAGAGGAGAACCAGGAGGGGAGAAUCAAUCCUUGGCCAGUGGGUAGAUAUAGUUCCAGAGGUGGGGCUCAUAACAACUACACCCUCUAAUUUCUUUCUCUACUGUUCAAAGUUAUGUUUUGUCCAGAGCAGGGUAUGCCCAGGGCCUUCUCCCCCACCCUGUGAGAGCUGUGAAUGAAAUUUUAUAUGGCUGUAAAUAUUGAUGCUGGGGGAACAGCACAGGACAGCAAAACAGUCUCUCUGUUCUGAGGGAGGCAGAUCACGUCAAUAGAAUGAUCAAGGGUGUUUGAAAAGGUCCUGCAGACAUUUAACCAUGAGCUGGGAAAUUUUUGUUUCAUAAAGGAUGCAGUUUGGAGCCGUGUGAGGGUGCAACUUUGUCAAAUUUAUGUUUGUGGUGAAUAAACUAUGAGACAGUUCCUUCAGUCCUCCAUUAAUACACACAUGGCUCCAGGUAGAGCUUCUUCCACUGAAGUUUUAUUUGGUAAAUUAUUUAUGAAUUUGGUUAAUUAUAAAUACCACCCCAUCUCACAGUUCCUUUUACUUUCCUUCACUGUACAAUGAUUAAAAUGCCCUCUGCAGAUCCCUAACCCUCUUUCAUCUGACACUUUCUUUUCCUGGUUUGCACGCCAUCCUAGUUUCAUUUUCUGUGGCAUAGAUUCACAGUAAGUCCCACCUGAUUCAGCCAUAAAAGUGCCCAACACAUCCACCUCCAACAGUGUCUAAAAAAUUAAUGAUCACAGUUUGAGAAACAAGAGUUUGACUGAACCAUUAUAAUUAGAUCAAAUGUUACGCAGAUGAUACUCAGAUCUGUGGAGCCCAUUGACCCGACCUUUCUUCAUGAUUGUUCAGCAGCUAUCCAAUAAUUGAUAUCAUUCAAUAUCCUCAAUUUGAAUCAGACAAAAGGGAAGUGUUCCAAGAGAAUUUCAUCAUUAAAGAUAAUAAGUUUAUCCACCCAAUUUAAUAAAGGAUAUUGUUCGUAUCUACCUUUGUAUCACGGAGAAGGAGAGGGGGAGAAAAAACUCCUGCUUGCUAACUAAUUUAUUUUACUAGUCUUAACAAACUUCUGCUUUUUUCCAUAAAAUAUUCAACCCAAUAUUAAAACAAUAUUAAAUAUUAAAAUAUUAUAAUUUAGUGUAAAAGAGGCUUUACAGAGAGAGAGCAUUUCAAGACCAGUUAAACACUCCUCACAGCUCCUUUAACAUGAGGCAGCCAUCAGUUACACCUCCCAUCCUCUUGAAUCCCUCUGUAAAUUUAUAGUUCAAUCCAGACUUCACAAGAUUCUGUUAAUUGCAUGACCUUGACCAAAGUUACGUUUCUGACUGCUUAGCUCCCUGUUUCUCUUUUCAGUCAUUACAGUUUUGCAUGAAUUCUACAUCAAAAGUUGUGAUGCUUUUAGUUGUUUAACACUGGGAUUCAUUUCCUCUGUUGUUAUUUAUAUUUGUUCUAUAUGUGGCACAUGGACUUAGUACUUGAGAAGUGCUCUGAUUAAAAAGCUUUGCAUUAUUGAAAACAUCACUCCAUCAUCUGGCCUUUGAACUAACUUAAAAACCUUCAAGUUCCUCUGAGCAGCUCAGACUGUGUUGUCUUUAAAUCCUUUUCAAACUUUUCUUUUGUGAAAGCAACCCACUCGCUGCUGUCAAUACAGCCUUCCCCCCUCCCCACCCUCGCCACAUGAAAACUCUCCUCUUUUCUCUAAUUUCUCCUUGAUUCCUUGGCUCUGUUCUUUUUCUUUCAACCUCCUCUCUUUUUUUCCCCCUCCUUUGUCACCUGCCACAGCGAGAAGAACAAAACUCAAAAACAUUUGCUUGUGAUCUCUCAUAGGUGUGCACACACUUAUGCGCACGCAUCCACACACACACACAGGCGUCCUCCCACAGACAGACACGCUCACACAAACCAACACGUGCAGACAGACCAGCUUGAAGGUUGAGCUGGAGUGUCUGCCAACAAAACUACAUGAGAAAAGAGAGGUGAAAGAAAAAAUAAGAGAUGCAUCUGGAGAGGGAGUGACAG